CUCAGGUGCACAUCUGGGCUUCGCAAUUUUAUGAACCUUUUGUCUGCUUCUUAUUAUUGGGCCCCAAGAAAACGCAGCGAGACCCAGCUUGGUUCUGCGAACACUUGUGCACCAGAAUCGAAGCCCCAAAAGGCAGGUCUGCUGGAAGAGUGGAGGAAGGACAGGCGCUCAUCGAGUAAUCGCCAAGGAGAGGCAUUUAGAUAUUCCGGCUACUUAACUUAGAAAAUUAAUAUUAAGUAUCAUUAGCAUUGGCAUGAUUGUUCAAAU
rnacentral:lncRNA from 10 species